ACUAUCACGUACCUAUAUCAUAAUUCAAUACUGACGUCAUAAUGCCUUGUUCUUAUAAUCCAUUAUGUCACAUGACAUAAUUAUGUAUCUAUUAGUAACAAUAGCAAAAACAGUAAGAAGUAUAACAUUAAUAAUAAUAAUUGCUUCUAAUUUAGGCACAAGGCCAGCAAUUUUGAGGGGAGGUGUUCAGUCGAUACCAUCGACCCUACUCCUUGACUGUUACUUUAUUUUAUCAACCUCGGAAGGAUGAAAGAGCAAGGUAAGUGGAAAAAUCUUACAACUUCCAAUGAGAACCCUUAAAAUAGCACAGAUGAUAUUGCAAUGAUGAUGAUGAUGAUGAUGAUGGAAAGGUUGGUGGUGUUGUUGAUUGACAUCUAACAGCAUUGAAAAUAAUACUAAUAAUUCUUUCCAAUUUUUGGCACAAGGCCAGCAAUCGUUAGGGGAGGUGGAAGUUAAUUACAUCAACUACCCCCACUAGUGCUCAACUGGUACCUAUUUUAUCAAUCCCAAAAGAACGAAAGGCAAUGCAAAUCUCAGUGGGCUUCAAAUUUUGGCACAAGGCCAGCAAUUUUAGAAGGGGGAGCAUAUUGAUUACAUCAACCCCAGUACUUGACUGCUACUUUGAUUUAUCAACUCUGAAAAGAUGAAAGGCAAAGGCUCUGGAAAAUUCAACCUCAGCAGAAUCUGAACUCAACAGAAAUACUGCUAAAAAUUUUUGUCUGAUAUGCUCGCCACCUUAUAAUGGUUUCAAACUUUGGCACACAACCAGCAGUUUUGGGGGGAGGGGCAAGUCAGUUACUCAACUUGUACUUUAUUUUAUAAGCCCCAAAAGAACAAAAGGCAAAUUCAACCUCAGUGGGGUUUGAACUCAGGAUGUAAAGAGCCCAAACAAAUACUACAAGACCUUUUAUCUGACAUUCUAAUGAUGUGUUCCAGAUGAACACAUAACAUAAUGUAAUCCUAGAUAAACUAUGUCUGAAUAAAACACAAGAUGGUCAUGGCUGGAAAACCACUGAUUAUAGGAAGUUUCAAAUCUGAGCUGCCUUGAGAUUUAUCACUGAUUUUUUUUUUUUUUUAACUACUACUUCAGUAAAUAUUAUGCUAUACUCUGAGAAGAUAGAAUAAGCCUAAAGCAUUUCCCAAUUUUUUUUUCCAAUACUUGCUAAUAAAAUUAUUUAAUAUUAGUUGUUGAAUAAAUUUAUUGAAUGAUU